rnacentral:rRNA from 1 species
UACGUAGGGGGCAAGCGUUGUCCGGAAUCAUUGGGCGUAAAGCGCGUGUAGGCGGCUCGAUAAGUCCGCUCUGAAAGCCCGGGGCUCAACCCCGGGAGGCGGGCGGAAACUGUCGGGCUAGAGUCCGGAAGAGGCGAGUGGAAUUCCCGGUGUAGCGGUGAAAUGCGCAGAUAUCGGGAGGAACACCUGUGGCGAAAGCGGCGCACUGGACCACAACUGACGCUGAGGCGCGAAAGCUAGGGGAGCAAACAGG